AAAAUGAGAGCUAUUGCAACGGUAUGUUGUAUCAUGAAAAAAUUUAGAAUGAAGCGCGCAUUUUCCCUCUAUUUUUUUCACCAGUAUUUUGAACAACACGUUUCUUUAAUUUGCUUCCCUCUAUUCACAAUUCUCACGUACAGUACCUUUCCCCUUUUUCUCCAUUUUCCCCAUUCUCAAUUUCUCAUCACCAUUUUCCCAUUUUCUCCAUUUCUCCAUCUUCUUCAUCCAUUUGGUUAUCUUCUUCAUCUCGCAAUCUCCUAAAUCGUUCUAACCUUUUAUGAUUUUUCUGCUGGAUUAUAGAGUUCCGUUUGAUUAUUGCUCAGAUAAGUUAUUGGCCGGAGGUCUGUCAUCGAAGUUCGUAAUUGCCUGACUUUCCAUAACCUUAUAGUUAAGCAAAUUGAGAGCCUUAACAGCAAGUAUGGAUCCAAAGUGCCUUUGGUUCUGAUGAACUCAUUCAACACACAUGAUGAUA